ACCGAAAAAAAAAAAAAAAUUGUGUGCGCAAAUUCCUUAGAAUAGCAUGCCUUAACAUUACAGGCAAAAUUAAUUGAUGUGAAAAUAACCUAAAAACUAAGAAUUGGGUUUGGAGAUAUUACCAAUGAAACAGAGGAGUAUUGAGUUCUCAGGUGAAAUGGUGUUAAAGUUAAAAGAGGUGUAAAACAUGAACAACUUUGCAAAAGAAUACAAUAAUUUAUGAUGAAAAUCUAUAUUACCAAU